rnacentral:pre_miRNA from 1 species
UGAGGCAACCAGGUGCCACUGAUUGCCAGGGAGUGAGCAUGAGCUUGUGUCAAGCCCACCUGUGCCUGAUUAGGGUGGGCCCCCACUGCGCAUGAGCAGGACCAGGAGGCCAAUAAAAGGGGCACAGGUGGGCUUGACACAAGCUCAUGCUCACUCCCUGGCAAUCAGUGGCACCUGGUUGCCUCAUUUCACU